rnacentral:rRNA from 1 species
UGCCAGCAGCCGCGGUAAUACGAGGGGUGCAAGCGUUAAUCGGAAUUACUGGGCGUAAAGCGUACGCAGGCGGUUUGUUAAGUCGGAUGUGAAAGCCCUGGGCUCAACCUGGGAACUGCAUCCGAUACUGGCACGCUAGAGUGCAGUAGAGGGAGGUGGAAUUUCCGGUGUAGCGGUGAAAUGCGUAGAGACCGGAAGGAACACCAGUGGCGAAGGCGGCCUCCUGGACUGACACUGACACUGAGGUGCGAAAGCGUGGGGAGCAAACAGGAUUAGAUA